UACUUUUGGAAACAGUGAAAGUAAAGCAUGUCAAGAAAAUAAAGCUUUAAUAGUUGAAGUUCUAAGACAACUGGAAAACAUUAAAAUAGAUAUCAAACAUCUGAUUCUAAAUUCUAAAAUAGAAAACUCUCAACCCCUUCCGAAACAGUUGUGUGUAAUAGAUAGUAUUGAAGACCUUCUAGAGUUUAAUACACAUUUGGAAGAUGAAGAUUUUUUUUCCAAAGCUUGUUCUCAGUUUCAAAUAUUUGGUGGAAAAGAUGGACCUGAAACAGUACGAAAGAUAAUGUCCCAACUAAUAAGCAACACAUGAGGUGGCUCCAAAUGAAUUGGUCUGGACGGAAUAACAAAAAGGGAUUUUAUAGUUUGAAGAAGAUAUAAUAACGCUUAUUCAUGUUUGUGUAAGAGCUAACCUAUGUGCUCAAGGUACAACUAUGAGUUGUGUGGAAAACACUAUCAAACAUUGGCUAAGAAAUGCACCGAACAGGGAAGCGAGUCAAAAAGCGAAAUA